rnacentral:rRNA from 1 species
GACAGAGGUGCCAAGCGUUUAGGCGGAAUCACUGGGCUUAAAGCGUGUGUAGGCGGGCGAUCAAGUACCUUGUGAAAUCCCACGGCUCAACCGUGGAACUGCUGGGUAUACUGGUUGUCUUGAGCCAGCUAGGGGGCGAGCGGAACAGACGGUGGAGCGGUGAAAUGCGUAGAUAUCAGGAGGAACACCGGUGGUGUAAACGGCUUUCUGGACCAUAACUGACGCUGAUGCACGAAAAGCGUGGGUAGCAAACAGG